rnacentral:rRNA from 2 species
GGUUAAGCGACUAAGCGUACACGGUGGAUGCCCUGGCAGUCAGAGGCGAUGAAGGACGUGCUAAUCUGCGAUAAGCGCCGGUAAGGUGAUAUGAACCGUUAUAACCGGCGAUUUCCGAAUGGGGAAACCCAGUGUGACUCGUCACACUAUCAUUAACUGAAUCCAUAGGUUAAUGAGGCGAACCGGGGGAACUGAAACAUCUAAGUACCCCGAGGAAAAGAAAUCAACCGAGAUUCCCCCAGUAGCGGCGAGCGAACGGGGAGGAGCCCAGAGCCUGAAUCAGCAUGUGUGUUAGUGGAAGCGUCUGGAAAGGCGCGCGAUACAGGGUGACAGCCCCGUACACAAAAGCGCAUGUGCUGUGAGCUCGAUGAGUAGGGCGGGACACGUGGUAUCCUGUCUGAAUAUGGGGGGACCAUCCUCCAAGGCUAAAUACUCCUGACUGACCGAUAGUGAACCAGUACCGUGAGGGAAAGGCGAAAAGAACCCCGGCGAGGGGAGUGAAAAAGAACCUGAAACCGUGUACGUACAAGCAGUGGGAGCCCCACCACUAAGCCAGUGGUGAACUCCACAUACGCAUCCUUUGCUGAGGAUACGGUUAACGGAGCGAAAGCGACGUUCAACCUCAAAAGAAGCAGAGGGGGCUUAGUGGUGGGGUGACUGCGUACCUUUUGUAUAAUGGGUCAGCGACUUAUAUUCUGUAGCAAGGUUAACCGAAUAGGGGAGCCGGAGGGAAACCGAGUCUUAAUUGGGCGUUAAGUUGCAGGGUAUAGACCCGAAACCCGGUGAUCUAGCCAUGGGCAGGUUGAAGGUUGGGUAACACUAACUGGAGGACCGAACCGACUAAUGUUGAAAAAUUAGCGGAUGACCUGUGGCUGGGGGUGAAAGGCCAAUCAAACCGGGAGAUAGCUGGUUCUCCCCGAAAGCUAUUUAGGUAGCGCCUCGUGAAUUCAUCUCCGGGGGUAGAGCACUGUUUCGGCUAGGGGGCCAUCCCGGCUUACCAACCCGAUGCAAACUGCGAAUACCGGAGAAUGUUAUCACGGGAGACACACGGCGGGUGCUAACGUCCGUCGUGAAGAGGGAAACAACCCAGACCGCCAGCUAAGGUCCCAAAGUCAUGGUUAAGUGGGAAACGAUGUGGGAAGGCCCAGACAGCCAGGAUGUUGGCUUAGAAGCAGCCAUCAUUUAAAGAAAGCGUAAUAGCUCACUGGUCGAGUCGGCCUGCGCGGAAGAUGUAACGGGGCUAAACCAUGCACCGAAGCUGCGGCAGCGACGCUGAUGCGUUGUUGGGUAGGGGAGCGUUCUGUAAGCCUGCGAAGGUGGCCUGUGAGGGUUGCUGGAGGUAUCAGAAGUGCGAAUGCUGACAUAAGUAACGAUAAAGCGGGUGAAAAGCCCGCUCGCCGGAAGACCAAGGGUUCCUGUCCAACGUUAAUCGGGGCAGGGUGAGUCGACCCCUAAGGCGAGGCCGAAAGGCGUAGUCGAUGGGAAACGGGUUAAUAUUCCCGUACUUGGUGUUACUGCGAAGGGGGGACGGAGAAGGCUAUGUUGGCCGGGCGACGGUUGUCCCGGUUUAAGCGUGUAGGUGUGUGUUCCAGGUAAAUCCGGUUCACUUUAACACUGAGGCGUGAUGACGAGGCACUACGGUGCUGAAGCAACAAAUGCCCUGCUUCCAGGAAAAGCCUCUAAGCAUCAGGUAACAUCAAAUCGUACCCCAAACCGACACAGGUGGUCAGGUAGAGAAUACCAAGGCGCUUGAGAGAACUCGGGUGAAGGAACUAGGCAAAAUGGUGCCGUAACUUCGGGAGAAGGCACGCUGACACGUAGGUGAAGUGAUUUACUCAUGGAGCUGAAGUCAGUCGAAGAUACCAGCUGGCUGCAACUGUUUAUUAAAAACACAGCACUGUGCAAACACGAAAGUGGACGUAUACGGUGUGACGCCUGCCCGGUGCCGGAAGGUUAAUUGAUGGGGUCAGCGCAAGCGAAGCUCCUGAUCGAAGCCCCGGUAAACGGCGGCCGUAACUAUAACGGUCCUAAGGUAGCGAAAUUCCUUGUCGGGUAAGUUCCGACCUGCACGAAUGGCGUAAUGAUGGCCAGGCUGUCUCCACCCGAGACUCAGUGAAAUUGAACUCGCUGUGAAGAUGCAGUGUACCCGCGGCAAGACGGAAAGACCCCGUGAACCUUUACUAUAGCUUGACACUGAACAUUGAGCCUUGAUGUGUAGGAUAGGUGGGAGGCUUUGAAGUGUGGACGCCAGUCUGCAUGGAGCCGGCCUUGAAAUACCACCCUUUAAUGUUUGAUGUUCUAACGUGGACCCGUGAUCCGGGUUGCGGACAGUGUCUGGUGGGUAGUUUGACUGGGGCGGUCUCCUCCUAAAGAGUAACGGAGGAGCACGAAGGUUGGCUAAUCCUGGUCGGACAUCAGGAGGUUAGUGCAAUGGCAUAAGCCAGCUUGACUGCGAGCGUGACGGCGCGAGCAGGUGCGAAAGCAGGUCAUAGUGAUCCGGUGGUUCUGAAUGGAAGGGCCAUCGCUCAACGGAUAAAAGGUACUCCGGGGAUAACAGGCUGAUACCGCCCAAGAGUUCAUAUCGACGGCGGUGUUUGGCACCUCGAUGUCGGCUCAUCACAUCCUGGGGCUGAAGUAGGUCCCAAGGGUAUGGCUGUUCGCCAUUUAAAGUGGUACGCGAGCUGGGUUUAGAACGUCGUGAGACAGUUCGGUCCCUAUCUGCCGUGGGCGCUGGAGAACUGAGGGGGGCUGCUCCUAGUACGAGAGGACCGGAGUGGACGCAUCACUGGUGUUCGGGUUGUCAUGCCAAUGGCACUGCCCGGUAGCUAAAUGCGGAAGAGAUAAGUGCUGAAAGCAUCUAAGCACGAAACUUGCCCCGAGAUGAGUUCUCCCUGAGACUUAGAGUCUCCUGAAGGAACGUUGAAGACGACGACGUUGAUAGGCCGGGUGUGUAAGCGCAGCGAUGCGUUGAGCUAACCGGUACUAAUGAACCGUGAGGCUUAACCUU